rnacentral:tRNA from 1 species
UAGGUGGAUGCUCACUGGCUUGAGCACUUAGCUGUUAACUAAGAGUUUGUAGGAUCGAAGCCUGCCCACCUAG